rnacentral:rRNA from 1 species
GAGGGGCAGCGGGGAGGAAGCUUGCUUUCUCCGCCGGCGACCGGCGCACGGGUGAGUAACACGUAUGCAACCUGCCCCUGUCAGGGGGACAACCCGCCGAAAGGCGGGCUAAACCCGCGUACAUGCCACCGGGGCAUCCCGGAGGCAGGAAAGGCUUCGGCCGGACAGGGAUGGGCAUGCGGCGCAUUAGGCAGUAGGCGGGGUAACGGCCCACCUAACCGACGAUGCGUAGGGGUUCUGAGAGGAAGGUCCCCCACACUGGUACUGAGACACGGACCAGACUCCUACGGGAGGCAGCAGUGAGGAAUAUUGGUCAAUGGUCGGGAGACUGAACCAGCCAAGCCGCGUGAGGGAGGAAGGUACAGAGUAUCGUAAACCUCUUUUGUCAGGGAACAAAGACUGGGACGCGUCCCCGGAUGAGUGUACCUGAAGAAAAAGCAUCGGCUAACUCCGUGCCAGCAGCCGCGGUAAUACGGAGGAUGCGAGCGUUAUCCGGAUUU